GGGGAGCGGAGCGGAGCGGAGGGGGUUCUGAUAACUGUGAGUGGCCUAACCCACAUAGAUGGAAAUCAGCCUUGGGGCAAUUCUUUCCUUUAGCUGAUGGAACAUGAUAUAUACAGCUUGGAGCUAGGUUCCUCCACAGCACAGCUAUUUGUAUGCAUUCACUUUAUCACAUUUUUAGGAAUUUUGAUAGCAUCUGAUAGGUUUAGAUUCUGAGAGGCAUUUCCUUUGAGCCACCAGCAUCUUCAUGGCAGCUGGAGCACUGGCUAUAAUGAUCUGUUCCAGCCUCCUUAUCUUCAGUAGCCUUCCAUAUCUCCAAUCUGCCUGUGUCUCUGCAUACUGAGAAAUGAUUGUGGUUGUCAAUCAUAUGUGCCUUACUCUCAUCCUCCCCAGCUGUGGGUUCCGUCACUGAGAUCAGACUUGGUAGACCAUAUCCAGGGAUUUGAUUGUAUUGACUUGAAGUGAAUAUUGCGUUUGCCUUCAGAAAUCUCUUUCUUUCCCUCCAUCUUCCUUUGUGCAGGUCCUUUAUCUCUCAGAGCCUGUUUUCUGGCCAGCUGCAGCCUGAUGUUUACUCAGCUGGGGUGAAUAACUUUCCUUUCUGUGUGUCUGAUGUGCUGCGUGUUGUCAAUACAUGGGCCAAUGGAGAUGUCCUCCCUGCUCCAUCCAUAUCAGCUUCUGACCUGACUUAUCUGUUGGCAGACCAGCAGCACUGAAGUCAGUGUGAAUGCAGGCAUCCAUAGAAACGUGUUCUCAUACAGCAGAGGGACUGAGCUGUCAUUGCCUUGAGAGCACCUGGUGAGGUUUGGUCAGCUUUCCAAGAUGAUAACAUGGAGCCUGAAGACCAAGUGCUGAAGACAGAAGGAACUGCAUCCUUGCUUUGUGAGGCAUAGGGAUUCCAAAGGCCAUGAUUAGAUAGCCUUAAUUUUACCUAAGCUUACUGCUUCUUGUCUUUUUAUUUAUUUGCCAGAAGUAAAAGACAGUGGACUUUUCUGUAUCAUGAAGCUGAAGACUGAACGCAGUUGAACACCAAAGGAAGCAAUGGGAAAUAUUUAUCAUACUUGGGGAGAGGGAUCCAUUUUUGCCAUAUGAAAGCAUACAACAAAAGGUUCUGGCAGCUGGAAACUAGGAGAGAGAGCUGGGAUGGGACUUGCUUGCAUCCCACCGAUGAAGAUGAGCACCCAGUCCUCAGGUCCCUGUGUUUCCCAGCCAUCCCCCUCCCUGACAGAUGUCUGUCCUAGGAUGCUGGCUCCCACUCCUAUAUUUGAGAGGUGACAGAUGACUUGCUUCUCCUCCUUUUGCAAGCCUGGGCUGGGCUGAUCUGAUUGCCCUUUUCAGCUGUAGAAAGAUCCAUGUGGACAGGAAGACAUCAGAGAUAUCUAAGACUUCAAGGGCAUGAGAUAAAUGCAAAUGCAUCACUAAUGACUGCUUUAAAAGAAGGUGGUUCUGAUCUCUGUUCAAGAGUUGAUCUCCACCUUAGCAAUGCUACCUUGGGCUUUGAAAGGAAUCUGACAACAUGUCCUUCCUCCGGAUUUUAUUCCUGACUGUAAAGUGGAACCAGCUUUUAGAAGCGGAGGAUAAAGAUUUGGCUGGGAACAUCUGAGCUGGAGGACCAAUAACUUGGGAGCUGCUCGGAAGUGUUUGAUCUGUCUCAGGCCCGCAAGUGCUGAGCAAACGCCUGCCUUGAAGUGGAAGUUAUUUUAUGCAUCCACUGGAGUCCUCUAAAGCCAUUUCCUCUGGGACCUCUGGGGACACUCUGGGCAUCUAUUUUCUCAGCAAUACCAAUGUGACAUGAGGGAGACCGUCUCACAGCCGCUAGGACAGAAGGUGGAAGAAUGCAAACGCUGAAACAUUUUUCAGUUUGUCCUGAUUAUCUUUCCUCCUCCAGCAGUUUUAUUAGGGUUCAUAAAUUCUUCUUUAGAGCACUCAUUCCCCCAUGCAUUUUAACCCUCGGCAGCCUUGGAGGUCACUGUAACCCUGUGGGGUUGGUGGCUGUCCAGGAGAAGCCACCCUGCCCCAUCACAGCUGGCUCUGACCGAAGAGAAUGGAAAUCACUGCACAAAAAGGGCUCUGAGGCACAUGGAGCCCUUCCACUGGCUCAAGUGUAAUAUAAAUAACAACCUUAAUCAUGCAGUGAAAUUGGUGGGUGAAGAUAUGACUGAGGAAUCUGAUAUUGCUUUCAGAAGAUUUUCAGUGCAUCAGUGCUGCUCUCCCCAGCGUGGCAGGAAAGCAUGGAAAAUUCCUCCGUCACCACUGCUUGGUGCCCUCCUAUAAUGAGUAGUCGUUGAGGUAAUAGUAACCCUUUUGGCAAAAGCACUUGCUCCAUGGAAAGCCAGGAUAUAUCCAGUAAUGCAGGGGAGUGCCAUAAAGCACAGCUCAGUAGGAACCUGUUAAAGCGAUAACCUCUGCUGGCCUGGCACGCUGCUUCACCAACAGUCCCCAGCUCCUGAAGGCAGUGAUGCUAAGUGAAAUAUUCAGGGGAGGUUAAGGUCGGAUAUUACGAACAGUUUCUUCUCAGAAAGAGCAGUGAGGCACUGGAAUGGGCUGCCCAGGGAGGUGGUGGGAUCGCCAUCCCUAGAGGUGUUCCAGAACCAUGGAGAUGUGGCACUGAGGGAUGUGGGCAGUGGGCAUGGUGGGGUGGGCUGGGGUUGGACUUGGGGAUCUGAGAGGUCUUUUCCAACUUGAAUGAUCAUAUGAUUAGAUAGCUGCUGUUUGUUAGGCAGUCUUAUUCUUGUGGCAGUCUUAUUCUUGUGUCCCCUUGGGAGAACAGCCCUGAAGGCUGGUGGCCUUGAACUGGCAGCUUCUGCUGUGGACACCAUCCCCUCCUUCCCAGUUUGACCUUCUACCAAGCCCUGAAGCAGGCUGAUUUGAGAUCAAUUCUUGCAGCUAUAGCCUAGCAAUCCAUUUGGCUGCGUGGUUUUAUAGCCAGUACAAUAGGAUACAAUUAGUUUGUCAUGCACUUGGUGCAUUAUUCGCUUGCUGUUUGCUGCAAAGGAGGAGAAAGCUGAAAAAGUACAGUGGUGAGCUAUGUUGCUUUGGAACAAAAUAUUUACAUUUUCCACAUUUCCCAUAAGGCAUUAGCACUCUUCCAAAUGUGACACAGGAGAAGCAAAUGCUUAGUGGUCUGCGGAUCUAACGUUUGCUUAAGUACCAUGACAUAUGUGCGUAUGUGUGUACACACACGAGAUAUUUUAGUUCUACUAUUUAAAUUAAGGGUGGGAUACCCUUCAGCACUGCAUUUCUCAGCAUAUGUGUUCUUAUGUUCACUUAUUCUUUGUUUCUGCCAAUGCCUAAAUAAGGAAUACUAAACAGCCACAAAUAUGCAGCCAGUGGAGACGCAGGAAUUCACUGGGAGGGAGCAAAUGCUGAUCUUGAGCUGAUAGGUUUGCAAGGGAAAGAGUCACUGCAGCUGCAGGAGAGAUUUCUGUGGUGGUAUCUGUCUGUAAUGCACAUCACAGCCCCGCUUUGCCUUCAGGGCAAAGCUGAAGCUUUUAGAUGGAGAGCAAGUCGUUUCAAUGCCACAUCAGGGAUAUAUGUAUAUAUAUAUCCACAUAUAUAUACACACACAUAUAAGAAGCACCUGUUUGCACAAUGUUGAUGGUAUUCUCUGCAGCUCUGAGCUGGAACACUGGGCUUGCAAGGAUGCCCAGAUGGGCUGCGUGUGCAGGCAUAGGGGACCACACAUACAUGCCUACAUUUAUUCCCAUUAUUCCCUUGACUUAGAGCUUUAAAGUCACCUCCUCAGUCUCAUGCCAGCUACACAAUGUAAGGAUGACACAGUCAGGCCUUAAAUUUCCUACCUUUAGGAAAAUGCACAUGAAUUUGACCUCACAUUUGUUUUUCUGGUCAAAAAAUGAAAAGUCUAUGGGAAAGCAGCUUGUCCUGGAGCUCACUGCACUGGAGUAUUUCCUGUUAAAGUACAAUGAUCAGCUUGGAAAUUAAAGGGCAGAGAUGUCCCAGUUUGCUUUUCUAUGAUAUCUCUACACUCAUAGUGAUUGAAAUUGCUUUUGUGAUUCUUAUUUUAAAGCUGGAGCAAUUUAAGCACCAAGUAUCUGCUGUAGUGGAAAUGCUGAGUCACAGCCUGAAGCAGUGAUGGAGCACCUGGUGGAAAGGCAGGGCCAACCCAGGGGAGCUCAGGUGCAUGCAGUGCACCUGAGUGAUUGGAAGGGAUGGAGCCACCCCUUCCCAGACCUCAUUUAAGGGUUGGCAGUGGAGGUGAGGGCAUCUCUUGUCUGCCUACCUGAGGCCUUCUAAAGGCAAAUAGCUCUUUUCUUUCAUUUUUGCAUCUGUGGCUGCUGCACUUGGGCUCACUCUCAUUUGCUGCAGCCAAAGACUUUGCCACCCUACUAUUAUCAGCCCAUUAUAGCAUUAUGCCUGCUUGCCAGUUUUUUGUCUGUUCCUCAGGUUCUCUGAGGGUACAAGGAACAACAGCUUUUCAGAGUGGGUUCUGCUUCCUGUCUUUUCCCACCUUUGUCCAUGCAGCAUACGUAAAUGUUUCCUCACCUCAGUCCUUACAGGGACGUUGUUGGCCAGGAGAGAUCUGUAAUGCAGAGGUUGGGCAAAUCAUACAAUCACUAUGGUUGGAAAAGGCCACUAAGAUCAUCAAGCCCAACUGUCAGCCCAACCCCACCAUGCCCGCUGACCACGUCCCUCAGUGCCACAUCCCCACGGUUCUGGAACACCUCCAGAGACAGUGUGAUAUCACCAGUUGGACUGGAUGAUCUUAGUGGUCUUUUCCAGCCUUAAUGAUUCCAUGAUAAUAUGUUAUGUAACAAUUAUAGUAUAAUAUAAAUUGUAUUUAAUGGAGAUGCUGCUCUGGGUGUGAUUCAGCUGCAAGGGAAUCCAUCCCAUCUCUUGCAGGGUUUGUGGGGUUGGUAUGUGAUUUCCAUGCCACUGUGCGUGCACCACUAUACACAGCACAUUGCCCCAUCUUUGUUGCUGCGCUGCCCAACUCUCAGCUCAGGGAAAAGAAAGUCUGAGCUGAUAAGAAAGAUAACUGUUCUGAAGAAGGGAGGCAGAGGUUAAGGAGUGCCAUCUUUUGCGAUCCAUGAUUUGAGGUGGGAGCUUGCAGCCAGGUCCCCUCCGUGCCCAUUCUUCUGCCCUCUUCGCAUCCUCUCCUCCCAUUUUCCACCCCACCCUUGGAGAGGGGUAUGUCUGCUUACCUCCCUUUGCAGCAAGGGCAGAGGAAGAUGAGGAGCUUGGCUGGGGCAUGGAUGGAGCAGCCCAGGGUGCAGCAUCAACAGCCCCAGCCCCUACUCCCCCCCAGGCAGCAUUUGCAAAAGAUCAAAGCGUGCAGCAAAAAUAGCAAAAGGGAAGAGCUUGUGGGUUGGACAUCUGGAGGCCAGAAGCAGCUCCUGCUUUUGAGUAGGCAAGAGGUGAAGGAGGAAGGGUAAAAAUGGGUUUACGGUCUCGCUUCUUUUACUGGGAUUAAAAACUUCUUAUAAAGUUAUAUGGUUUGCUGUUAUUUGAGAAAGCAGUGUCCUAUGUCUCUGUAAGGUCCUAAUUUCAGAAGCAGGGAUGCUAAUGACACCUAUAAAAAUAGAGAGGUGGGUAUUUUCUGGCAGUCACAAUGCUGAUUUAUCUGUGGUGCAUCAUCUGACAACCUUAUUUUUAUUCCAAGGGGCACAAGGAGGCUCCUGGGAAAUGUCUGUGCUGCUAAGCUGAAUAAAGCAGGUGCUAUUUCCUUUUGCAGCUGGAUGUUUUCAACUAUAAGAACUCAGAAACAAGCCCAAACCUAAGGGGAUGGCUGGGUCACAGCCCAGUUUUUCAAAGCCUUUGCAAAGAAACUGGAGACAGGCAGACUAGAAGUCAAAGUCCAACCUCUGGACAGUGCUGCCAAGAGUGCAAUCAAAUAUUGUGCCCAUUUCCACCAAAUAAGUGUGCCAGUGUCAUUGCAAUGCAUUAACGUACAAACAGUACAUUGCAACGUUGGGUUCACUCUGCAAAUGGAGCUGAGUGAGCAAAGUGUUUCACGCCAUUAUGUGUGUCCAAAUGGGAUGAAAACCUCUGGAGGCAGCAUAGCGGGACAUUCUCUGGUGAAAACAUUUACCAUGGAAAAAUGCAAUUUGCAGGGGAUGAUUUGCAUCCAGCACGAUGAACAAUUUUGGCCACAGGAAAAAUAAGCUGAAGUGGAGGGAAGGAGGUUGGAAUGGAAACAGACAGAUUUGAUUGGUUUUCUUUUAACAAAAGAAGCCGUAAGUUAAACACUCUGUUUGUGACAAGAUGUACCAUCUUAUCCCAGGCAGGUUGGAAUUCUUUUUCUUUCCAUCUUUUUCCUUUUUGAUUUUUCCCUUCUCUGUUCAUUCUGUUGGGAAAUGUUUUGUGGAUCAUGGCAUGGGGAGGUUUGGGACUCUGUGUUCCUUUCUGAGCUUCAUCAUCGUUAUCACUUUGCCAUUGUUUGUCUUGAUGUAGGAUCAACAACUGUCUCUCUCCUUGGUCAAAUGGUGGAACUGCUUCUUUCCUCUUCCAGUUUUGCCUCCUGGUCAUUAAAGUGGGAAAUAUCUCUCAUUCAUUUGCAUUGGUUUGACCUGUGCUCCUGGUUUUCUUUCCCAGCUAGGGACAUGGUUGUUGCUCCCAGCCAAGUGCCAGGUGUAUGGCAUGUGAUGACACCAAGCCCUGCCAGGUUGCAUGUUUCAAUGCUUGUGUUGUGCCACUUUCAUUAGCGCACUGAUUAACCAUUUCCCCGUGGUCUAAUGAAUUCCACUUGCCCAUUGCUCACUGAGCAUACCCAGAAAUCACAGCAUUGGGCAAUGCUCACUGGGAUACUUAAGGAAGAGGAGGGGAAAAAAAAAUGAAUGUGCGAGUGCUGGAUUGGGCAGGAAUGGGGGAAUGAAGAAAUUCAAACAUUUUUUUUUCUUCUUUCAGUGGUGAGGGCAGACAAGGCUGAUAGCUGCCUCCGUGUGAAACUGGAGCUACAUCCAGGAAUGGUAUUUAUAUGCACGGAUGUAGCUUUCAAUCAGGAUGAUGUAAACACUGCUGCAGAAUUUUUUGACCAGGCUGUUUGGGAAACGUGAUGGAUUAAAUAUGACAAACAAGAUUCCUGGACGUUUAUUUAUCCGCCUUUUCAUUUGUGCCAGUUUCAUGUUAGGCAAGGCUCUGGCUACCAGACCGAUGCUAAGCCCUGAGGGCAGGCAAGGCUGGGGGGAGGGAGCCACAAAGAGAGUGUUUUCCAAGCCUCAUCUAAUUUAAAGCAUCUUUUGCUGAGUGGUGCAGCGAAGAGGAUGUGGCUAACACAAAUAAAAAAAUCAUAAAGGGAUCAAAGUGUGUGUGCAAAUUCAUUCCUUGUGGCAGGAGUUCUGCCAGUUUGCUUGCUCGCUUGCUUUCCUAAAAAAAAAAUUCUCUCCCCGCCCCCAGGAUGGAGCGAGCAAUCGCAUGUCAGAAUCUCUUCUGGAUUUCAUAAGGGUUUCAGCACUGAUGGAUGGGCGGGAUGACACCAGAGCCUGUACAUUGUGCCUGAGAUCUGAGCCACUUCCCCUUGGUCCCAUGGUUACACAUGGAACAGUUGCAUGGGCACGAUCUAUUUAUAAGUGGUUCAAAGGCACCACAAAAGCAGGGGGAUGCUGGUGUGAAGCACUGGGCCACCAGGAAGCUCUCUAGCACUUGCAGGAACCUGACGUUACCCCAGAGCCUGAGCAGUUCCUGGCAGGGUGUAAGAUGAGGAAAGUCCUAAAAAGGAAAACAAAAGAAAAGAGAUAAAAAAGUAAAAUCUAAAA
rnacentral:lncRNA from 1 species